rnacentral:rRNA from 1 species
CUUGCACCGAGCGGAUGAGUUGCGAACGGGUGAGUAACGCGUAGGUAACCUGCCUCUUAGCGGGGGAUAACUAUUGGAAACGAUAGCUAAUACCGCAUAAAAGUCGACAUUGCAUGAUGUUGAUUUGAAAGGUGCAAUUGCAUCACUAAGAGAUGGACCUGCGUUGUAUUAGCUAGUUGGUGAGGUAACGGCUCACCAAGGCGACGAUACAUAGCCGACCUGAGAGGGUGAUCGGCCACACUGGGACUGAGACACGGCCCAGACUCCUACGGGAGGCAGCAGUAGGGAAUCUUCGGCAAUGGGGGCAACCCUGACCGAGCAACGCCGCGUGAGUGAAGAAGGUUUUCGGAUCGUAAAGCUCUGUUGUAAGAGAAGAACGAGUGUGAGAGUGGAAAGUUCACACUGUGACGGUAACUUACCAGAAAGGGACGGCUAACUACGUGCCAGCAGCCGCGGUAAUACGUAGGUCCCGAGCGUUAUCCGGAUUUAUUGGGCGUAAAGCGAGCGCAGGCGGUUAGAUAAGUCUGAAGUUAAAGGCUGUGGCUUAACCAUAGUACGCUUUGGAAACUGUUUAACUUGAGUGCAGAAGGGGAGAGUGGAAUUCCAUGUGUAGCGGUGAAAUGCGUAGAUAUAUGGAGGAACGCCGGUGGCGA